rnacentral:tRNA from 5 species
GGGCGGAUAGCUCAGUGGUAGAGCACCUGCCUUACAAGCAGGGGGUCACAGGUUCGAACCCUGUUUCGCCCACCA